UGAGCGAAUCCGAAUGCGAGCGAGCGUGAGCGAAAUGAGUAGAUGAUAGUGUCCGCGACGGAUAGGUGCGUGGAGCCGCGCGACCGCAGUGCUUGGACUGGGCAGAUGGCGGCCGAGAGCGGCACCUGAGGCCUCUGCGGGCGCCGCGACGUCCGGACGCCGCCACCAUUCUCUACACCUUCCACUGGUCCAUCCUCAAGCAUGGCGCCUCGUCGGCCACCGGCGGCGACGCGGCGAUGGGCGAGACGAAGCGAGGCCGCUCGAUGAGCGUUCCCGGCCGG